UGGUGGAGUGAUUUGUCUGGUUAAUUCCGUUAACGAACGAGACCUCGACCUGCUAAAUAGUUCGUCGAAUCCUUCGGGAUUCGGUCGCAGCUUCUUAGAGGGACUAUCGGUGAUUUAGCCGAUGGAAGUUCGAGGCAAUAACA
rnacentral:rRNA from 1 species